rnacentral:rRNA from 1 species
GACGAACGCUGGCGGCGUGCCUAAUACAUGCAAGUAGAACGCUGAGGACUGGUGCUUGCACUGGUCUAAGGAGUUGCGAACGGGUGAGUAACGCGUAGGUAACCUACCUCAUAGCGGGGGAUAACUAUUGGAAACGAUAGCUAAUACCGCAUGACAAUAGGGUACACAUGUACCCUAUUUAAAAGGGGCAAAUGCUUCACUAUGAGAUGGACCUGCGUUGUAUUAGCUAGUUGGUAAGGUAACGGCUUACCAAGGCGACGAUACAUAGCCGAGUUGAGAGACUGAUCGGCCACAAUGGAACUGAGACACGGUCCAU